GGGCCGAUAGCUCAGCGGUAGAGCGUAAGAUUGCAAAUCUUAACGUCGCGAGUUCGAUCCUCGCUCGGCCCU
rfam:Aspergillus wentii DTO 134E9 unplaced genomic scaffold ASPWEscaffold_4, whole genome shotgun sequence.